CAUCAGAUGGCUGAAAGUAAGUAAUGGUCUCUUAAACAAAAAAUAGUAAAUUAACGACCUACUUCUGAUGG